UACAGAGGGUGCAAGCGUUGUUCGGAAUUACUGGGCGUAAAGCGCACGUAGGCGGCUUUUUAAGUCAGGGGUGAAAUCCUGGAGCUCAACUCCAGAACUGCCUUUGAUACUGAGAGCUUGAGUCCGGGAGAGGUGAGUGGAACUGCGAGUGUAGAGGUGAAAUUCGUAGAUAUUCGCAAGAACACCAGUGGCGAAGGCGGCUCACUGGCCCGGUACUGACGCUGAGGUGCGAAAGCGUGGGGAGCAAACAGG
rnacentral:rRNA from 1 species